ensembl:lncRNA
GUGACAUCUGCGCCCUCUGCUGCUUCACCUCCCCCUGCAGCAGACAGGCUCCAGCGUUCGACGUCACCGGCCUUCUGACACCACCGUCCAUCUCAUUAUGCAUUUCACCUGUGUCCUGUUUAGCGCACCUGUUCCUCAUCCUCAUCAUCCCCCCCAGUAUAUAUGUUCCCUCUGCUCCCCCUGUCUUUGUGUGUAAUUGUCUCUGUAUACCCAAAGAGCUGGGUUACGCUUUGCUCACCUAUAUUCAUUUAUCAACCAUAUUAAAAGACUGUGACCGUUACGCUGUUCUCCUGCUCCUCCUUGUUCCGCCUGCGAAGACGUGACACCACUGCACUAAUGGUCUCGUGGUAAUAUAUCUAAGCUGUCUUUUUACUAAUAUCUAUGAUAUAUCUCAGUGGUUUUAUACAUUUCCAACAGCAAAAUUAUUAAUGUGACAAUGUUAGAGAUACGGAUAACCUGAUCUUUUAUUGUUACCUAUCUACCAACUACUGAUUUCUUCAUGACAAUAAAAUAAAACCUUCCUAGUAUUUGAAUGUGUGAUAAAAUUACAUUUGGACCACAGUAUGCUACAGAACUUUAUUUGUAAGAGACAAAUGAAGGGUAAUAACUUCUAAAAUAAAUGUAAAGGUCAUGAAUGUGACUCCUGCUUGUCUAAACAGAACAUAUGUAGUGACAAUAUUUUAUCACUACACUCAAAACUGUAUUUUUUCUUUAGAGAUCAAAUAUGUAAUGUAGAUAAAGCACCAAAAAGUACAUUUGAAAACCAUUGAAAUCAUACUUUUUGAGGCAAAUUAUUGGGGGGAGGAAGUCCCAGGGGGAGAAUACUUCUGCAAUCCACGGUAUAUACAGUACCCUAUUUCACUGCUCAUAUAGAUACUCAUAUAGAUACUAUAGCACUUAAGCCUUUACUGUAGAGUAGGUUUGAAGCAAAGGUACUCAAUACUCUCAAACAAAUGAUUAUAAGCUUAACAAAAUAAGCACUAGUACCACGUGAGAUGUAAACAUGUUUU